rnacentral:tRNA from 1 species
GAGCAUGUGGCUCAAUGGUAGAGCGUUCGACUCAAAUACCAAAGGUCGCGGGUUCGAAACCCAGGUGUUCC